rnacentral:rRNA from 1 species
UACGAGGGGGGCGAGCGUUGUUCGGACUUAUUGGGCGUAAAGGGUGCGUAUGCGGUUUGGUAAGUCUUAUGUGAAAUCUACAGGCUCAACUUGUAGUCUGCAUGAGAAACUGCCGGGCUUGAGUAUGGGAGAGGUGAGUGGAAUUCCUGGUGUAGCGGUGAAAUGCGUAGAUAUCAGGAGGAACACCUGUGGCGAAAGCGGCUCACUGGACCAUAACUGACGCUGAUGCACGAAAGCUAGGGGAGCAAACAGG